rnacentral:rRNA from 1 species
GCUGGCGGCAGGCCUAACACAUGCAAGUCGAGCGGUAACAGAACUAGCUUGUUAGUUGCUGACGAGCGGCGGACGGGUGAGUAACGCGUGGGAAUCUGCCUGGUAGUGGGGGACAACAGUUGGAAACGACUGCUAAUACCGCAUACGCCCUUCGCGGGAAAGUAGGGGAUCUUCGGACCUUACGCUAUCAGAUGAGCCCGUGUCGGAUUAGCUUGUUGGUGAGGUAAAGGCUCACCAAGGCGAUGCAUCCGUAGACUGGUCUGAGAGGAUGAUCAGCCACACUGGGACUUAGACACGUCCCAGACUCCUACGGGAGCCAUCAAUGGGGAAUAUUGGAACAAUGGGGGCAACCCUGAUCCAGUCUAUACCGCGUGUGUGAAGAUGGCCUUCGGGUUCUAAAGCACUUUCAGAUGUGAUGAAAGAUAUGUGGUUAAUACCCGCAUACUGUGACGUUAACAUCAGAAGCCAACACCGGCUAACUCCGUGCCAACAUCCGCGGUAAUACGGAGGAGGCAAGCGUUAAUCGGAAUUACUGGGGGUAACGCGCACGUAGGUGGUUUGGUCAGUCAGAUGUGAAAGCCCCGGGCUCAACCUGGGAACUGCACCUGAUACUGCCAGACUAGAGUACGGUAGAGGGUAGUGGAAUUUCCGGUGUAGCGGUGAAAUUCGUAGAGAAUCGGAAGGAACACCAGUGCCGACAGGCGACUGCCUGGCACCGAUACUGACACUGAGGUGCGCAAGCGUGGGUAGCAUCACAGCAUUAAAGAUACCCUGGUAGUACCCGAGCGUAACGAUGUCAACUAGCCGUUGGGGGACUUGAUCCCUAAAUACCGCAGUAACGCGAUAUGUUGACCGCCUGGGGGAGUACGGCCGCAAGGUUACAUACUCACAUGAAUUGAUGGAGGCCCGCACAGGCGGUGGCGCAUGUGGUUUAAUUCGAAGGAAGGCGAGGAUCCUUAGCUAUUCUUGAAAUCCUGCGAACUUGCUAGAGUAUAGGUUGGUGCAUUCGGUAACGCAGUGACAGGUGCUGCAUGGUUGUCGGCAGCUCGUUUUGUGACCUGUUCGCAAUGAAGUCCCGUUGAUGAGCGCAACCCCUAUCUUCAUUUGCCAGCAUUUCGGGUGGGAACUCUGAGGAGACUGCGGGUGACAACCCGGAGGAAGGUGGGGAUGACUUCAACGUCAUCAUGGCCCUCCACGAGUAGGCCUACACACGUCCUACAAUGUCCGGUACAGAGGGCCCGCGAAUUCGCGAGGAUAACCAAAUCACAGAAAUCCGGUCGUAGUCCGGAUCGCAGUCUGCUAAUCGACUCCGUGGAGUCGGAAUCGCUAGUAAUCGCGAAUCAGAAUGUCUGCUGUGCAUACGUUCCCGGGCCUUGUACACACCGCCCGUCACACCAUGGGAGUGGGUUGCGGCAGAAGUAGCUAGUCUAACCUGCGGGAGGACGGGUACCAUGGUGUGAUUCAUGAUUGGGGUGAAGUCGUAACAAGGUAUCCGU